rnacentral:lncRNA from 1 species
UAUGGGGUUUCUAUGGGGUACCUGUGGGGUUAUUAUGGGAUGUCCGUGGGGUCAUUAUGGGGUCAUUAUGGGGUUAUUAUGGGGUUAUUAUGGGAUGUCCAUGGGGUUAUUAUGGGAUAUAUCUAUGGGGUUAUUAUGGGAUGUCUAUAGGAUUUCUAUGGGAUAUCUAUGGGAUUAUUAUGGGCUAUCCAUGGCGUUAUUAUGGGAUGUCCAUGGGGUUUCCAUGGGGUUAUUAUGGGAUGUCUAUGGGCUAUUAUGGGAUAUACCUAUGGGGUUAUUAUGGGAUGUCCAUGGGGUUUCUAUGGGGCUAUUACGGGAUGUCUGUGGGAUAUAUCCAUGGGGUUAUUAUGGGAUACCUAUGGGGUUAUUAUGGGAUACCUAUGGGACAUACCUAUGGGGUUAUUAUGGGAUGUCCAUGGGACAUACCUAUGGGGUUAUUAUGGGAUGUCCACGGGCUAUUAUGGGACAUAUCCAUGGGGUUAUUAUGGGAUGUCCACCGGUUAUUAUGGGACAUACCUAUGGGGUUAUUAUGGGAUGUCCACGGGCUAUUAUGGGCUAUCUAUGGGGUUAUUAUGGGAUGUCCAUGGGGUUUCUAUGGGGUUAUUAUGGGAUGUCCAUGGGAUAUAUCCGCGGGGUUAUUAUGGGAUGUCCAUGGGCAAUACCUAUGGGGUUACUAUGGGAUGUCCAUGGGCUAUUAUGGGAUAUCUAUGGGGUUAUUAUGGGAUAUAUCCGUGGGGUUAUUAUGGGAUGUCCAGGGGGUUAUUAUGGGAUAUCUAUGGGAUAUCUAUGGGAUUAUUAUGGGAUAUCUACGGGGUUAUUAUGGGAUAUCUAUAGGAUAUAUCCAUGGGGUUAUUAUGGGAUGUCCAUGGGAUGUCUAUGGGCUAUCUAUGCGGUUAUGAUGGGAUAUCUGUGGGACAUACCUAUGGGGUUAUUAUGGGAUGUCCAUGGGCUAUUAUGGGAUGGAUACACCUAUGGGGUUAUUAUGGGAUGUCCAUGGGGUCUCUAUGGGGUACCUGUGGGGUCAUUAUGGGAUGCCCAUGGGCUAUUAUGGGCUAUACCUAUGGGGUUAUUAUGGGAUGUCCAUGGGUUAUUAUGGGCUAUCUAUGGGGUUCCUAUGCGAUGUCCAUGGGCUAUCCAUGGGGUUAUUAUGGGAUGUCCAUGGGCUAUUAUGGGCUAUACCUAUGGGGUUACUAUGGGAUGCCCACGGGCUAUCUAUGGGGUUAUUAUGGGAUACCUAUGGGCGAUACCUAUGGGGUUACUAUGGGAUGCCCACGGGCUAUUAUGGGAUGCCGCAGCUGCGCGCCGCCCUGUCGCUGUCGGUGCUGAGCGCCGUGCUGGCCGUCCUGCAGCUGCUUGUGCACGGGGUGCUGCUGCCCCACGGCUGCGGGCGCUGCUGGGCCAUGGGGCCGCACAUGGAGGGGGCGGUGCUCGGCGCUCAGGCUCUCCUCUCAUUGGCUACCGCCACGGAAGUGGGGCUGGCGGUGGCCGGGGCCGUAGCGGCCGGAAGGGCUCUGGUGGGGCGGGGCCAAGCGGUGAGUAGGGGGCGUGGCCAAACGGAGGGGGCGGGGCUAAGUGAGAGGCGCGAAGCUAUUGGACAGAGGGCGGGGCCAUGCAAAUAGAGGGGGAGUGGAGGGGGCGGGGCGUUGGGGGUGGAGUUAUGCUAAUGUGGGUGGGGCAUUGUGAGAGAAGCGCUGCUAUUGGUCUGGGGGCGGGGCAAUGUGAGAGGUGCCUUUCUAUUGGUCAAGGGGCGGGGCUCAGGCCUACAGGGGCGGGGCUAAGCGUGAGGCGCGUUGCUAUUGGUCAGGAGGCUGAGCUCAGGCAAAUGGGGCGGGGCUUUAUGAGAGGCGUUGCUAUUGGACAGAGGGCG